GGCGUAAAGCGUGUGUAGGCCGCGCGGAAAGUCGGAUGUGAAAGCCCAAGGCUUAACCUUGGAACUGCAUUCGAUACUCCCGUGCUAGAGUAAUGGAGAGGUAAGUGGAAUUCUCGGUGUAGCAGUGAAAUGCGUAGAUAUCGAGAGGAACAUCAAUGGCGAAGGCAACUUACUGGACAUUUACUGACGCUCAGACACGAAGGCUAGGGGAGCGAAAGGGAUUAGAUACCCCUGUAGUCCUAGCAGUAAACGGUGCUCGCUUGGUGUGGGGAGGUUCGACCCUCUCUGUGCCGGAGCUAACGCGUUAAGCGAGCCGCCUGGGAAGUACGGUCGCAAGACUAAAACUCAAAGAAAUUGACGGGGACCCGCACAAGCGGUGGAGUAUGUGGCUUAAUUCGAUGCAACGCGAAGAACCUUACCUAGGCUUGACAUGCUUGUCGUAUUCUCCCGAAAAGGAGAAGUCGCUUCGGGCGGACAAUGCACAGGUGCUGCAUGGCCGUCGUCAGCUCGUGUCGUGAGAUGUUUGGUUAAGUCCAGCAACGAGCGCAACCCCUGUGAACUGUUGCCAGCGGAUAAUGCCGGGGACUCUGUUCAGACUGCCCAGAUCAACUGGGAGGAAGGUGGGGACGACGUCAGGUCAGUAUGGCCCUUACGCCUAGGGCUGCACACGUACUACAAUGCCCAGCACAAUGAGAACCAAUACCGCGAGGUGGAGGAAAUCUGUAAAACUGGGCCCAGUUCGGAUUGGAGGCUGCAACUCGCCUCCAUGAAGUUGGAAUCGCUAGUAAUGCCGUAUCAGCUACGACGGCGUGAAUACGUUCCCGGGUCUUGUACACACCGCCCGUCACAUCAUGGAAGUCGGUCGCACCCGAAGUAUAUGCGCUAACUUUCGAGAAGCAGUAUCCUAAGGUGAGGCUGGUAACUGGGAUGAAGUCGUAACAAGGUAGCCGUAGGGGAACCUGCGGCUGGAUCACCUCCUUU
rnacentral:rRNA from 1 species